rnacentral:rRNA from 1 species
CUACGGGACGCACCAGUGGGGAAUUUUGCGCAAUGGGGGAAACCCUGACGCAGCAAUACCGCGUGAGUGAAGAAGGCCUUUGGGUCGUAAAGCUCUUUUCUGAGGGAAGAUAGUGACGGUACCUCAGGAAUAAGCACCGGCUAACUCCGUGCCAGCAGCCGCGGUAAUACGGAGGGUGCAAGCGUUGUUCGGAUUUACUGGGCGUAAAGGGCACGUAGGCGGCACAGCAAGUUAAGGGUGAAAUCCCGGGGCUCAACUCCGGAACUGCUCUUAAAACUGCUGAGCUAGAGAUAGUCAGAGGCGGGUGGAAUUCCAGGUGUAGAGGUGAAAUUCGUAGAUAUCUGGAGGAACACCGGUGGCGAAGGCGGCCCGCUGGGGCUAUUCUGACGCUAAGGUGCGAAAGCGUGGGGAGCGAACGGGAUUAGAUACCCCUGUAGUC